rnacentral:rRNA from 1 species
AACGAACGCUGGCGGCAGGCUUAACACAUGCAAGUCGAGCGCGUAGCAAUACGAGCGGCAGACGGGUGAGUAACGCGUGGGAAUCUACCGUGCCCUGAGGAAUAGCUCCGGGAAACUGGAAUUAAUACCGCAUACGCCCUUUGGGGGAAAGAUUUAUCGGGGUAUGAUGAGCCCGCGUUGGAUUAGCUAGUUGGUGGGGUAAAGGCCUACCAAGGCGACGAUCCAUAGCUGGUCUGAGAGGAUGAUCAGCCACAUUGGGACUGAGACACGGCCCAAACUCCUACGGGAGGCAGCAGUGGGGAAUAUUGGACAAUGGGCGCAAGCCUGAUCCAGCCAUGCCGCGUGAGUGAUGAAGGCCCUAGGGUUGUAAAGCUCUUUCACCGGUGAAGAUAAUGACGGUAACCGGAGAAGAAGCCCCGGCUAACUUCGUGCCAGCCGCCGCGGUAACAC